rnacentral:rRNA from 1 species
GAUGAACGCUGGCGGCGUGCUUAACACAUGCAAGUCGAACGGAAAGGCCCAAGCUUGCUUGGGUACUCGAGUGGCGAACGGGUGAGUAACACGUGGGUGAUCUGCCCUGCACUUCGGGAUAAGCCUGGGAAACUGGGUCUAAUACCGGAUAGGACCACUUCUUGGAUGUUGUGGUGGAAAGUUUUUUCGGUGUGGGAUGAGCUCGCGGCCUAUCAGCUUGUUGGUGGGGUAAUGGCCUACCAAGGCGUCGACGGGUAGCCGGCCUGAGAGGGUGUACGGCGACAUUGAGACUGAGAUACGGCCCAGACGCCUACGGGAGGCAGCAGUGGGGAAUAUUGCACAAUGGGCGCAAGCCUGAUGCAGCGACGCCGCGUGGGGGAGGACGGCAUUCGGGUUGUAAACUCCGUUCGCUAGGGACGAAGCGUUUUGUGACGGUACCUGGAGAAGAAGCACCGGCUAACUACGUG